rnacentral:rRNA from 1 species
AUUGAACGCUGGCGGUAGGCCUAACACAUGCAAGUCGAACGCGAAAGUCCUUCGGGAUGAGUAGAGUGGCGGACGGGUGAGUAACGCGUAGGAAUCUAGCCUGUAGUGGGGGAUAACGUUCCGAAGGGAACGCUAAUCCCGCAUACGCCCCAAGGGGGAAAGCGGGGGAUCUUCGGACCUCGUGCUAUAGGAGGAGCCGGCGUCGGAUUAGCUAGUUGGUGAGGUAAAGGCUCACCAAGGCGACGAUCCGUAGCUGGUCUGAGAGGAUGAUCAGCCACACCGGAACUGAGACACGUUCCGGACGCCUACGGGAGGCAGCAGUGGGGAAUAUUGCGCAAUGGGCGAAAGCCUGACGCAGCCAUACCGCGUGUGUGAAGAAGGCCUUCGGGUUGUAAAGCACUUUCAGUGGGGAGGAAAAGCUGGUGGCUAAUAUCCAUCGGCCGUGACGCUACCCACAGGAGAAGCACCGGCUAAUUCCGUGCCAGCAGCCGCCGUAAAAC